rnacentral:miRNA from 1 species
UUGAACUGCUUAUAGAUGGGC